GUGGCCUCGCCGCGCCCUGCUCCGGGGCGUCGCCGUGCAGAUAAGCAGCAGUAGGAACGAGGCGUUCGUUCUAGUACUAGGUGCCGCCUGUACAGGAGCUUCUCCGGCCAGGAGUCGAUCACAUCCGUUGGUGCUACCUUGAGAGGGGCUGCAAGUUUUCAGGAAGUAACAAGGCAAGAGGCAUUGGAGCUGCACAAAGACACUUGAGUCUUGUCUGUAAUUUGGAGUUGUACAAGGGCAUCCGAUAAUUUGGCUAUCAAGUACUUGUUAUCUUUAAGAUCUUGUGAUAAGUGUGCAUAAGAGUAUGUGGGAAGGCUGCUGUUGGGCAAGCCGUGGCGGCGUGUGUUCAGCGCGCCGCAACCGCGCUGGUGGUGCUAUGUCGUUUUCUGCUACAAUUCUCUCAGUUGAAGGAAUCUGGAAGACCUGGAGCGGUGGCCUUCUUCUUCCACUCCAUGUUGUGUCCAGGUAGAUUCUGAGUAUGUGAGGCUGCUGCUCUAUAGACCGUGACGGCGAGUUAACGGUGCCGCAACCGCAGUGGUGGUGCCAUCACGGCAGCGCCUAAAACUCUGUCAGGUAUACUUUCUUCUGACAUUUCCCGUCGGAGGGAUGUCAUGUGCCAAGCAAAGUCACGGAUGGGGAAGCCUGCUUGUUGUAUUACCAGGUUGCUCUAUUCUAUGGAGGUGUUCACAUAAAGAAUCCCUAAGGAUUUAUUUUGCUGCCGUCACUGUGGUGGGCACACCUGGAAGGAUUCUAGCUCUAGCUAGAGAGAAGGACCUUUCUUUGAAGAAUGUGAAGCAUUUCAAUCUUGAUGAGUGUGAUAAGAUGAUAGAGUCACUUGGUAUAUGAGAAUACUGCAAAAAGAAGAAUGCGAACCAGUGGCUGAGGGCCAUCACUUGGAACGAAGUGGUUUGGAUGUCCAAAAAACAGGCAAGGUCUUGCCAAAAUUUUGAGUACACCCGUGGUAAUUAAUCUUGGUGCGGUAGUCAGGAAGCAUGAACCAGAAAGACAUCUUGUCAUGUGUAGUGCUGCUUUUCGGUCCUUGUAAUAUUCGGUAGUACUCGACGCUGUAAAAUCUAUUUCUGGAAUGCUCCAGGCUUGGGUAGUUGCAACAAUUUGGUAAAUGUGGACGUGUGUGAUGUUUGUUCCUAGCUCGUGCUUGUCUUUGGGUUUGAUAAAUGGUUGGAUGGUGUGCUGUACAAACAUUUAUUCUACUGUUAUAUAUUGUUUGAUCUGCGGUCUGGAUGUUGCAAAAUAGGAAAGAUGAUGGCAAAAUUUUGAGCACUAUGGCUGAUUAAA